rnacentral:rRNA from 1 species
CCUACGGGGGGCUGCAGUGGGGAAUAUUGGACAAUGGGGGGAACCCUGAUCCAGCCAUGCCGCGUGUGUGAAGAAGGCCCUCGGGUUGUAAAGCACUUUCAGUGAGGAAGAACGCCUGGUGGUUAAUACCCAUCAGGAAAGACAUCACUCACAGAAGAAGCACCGGCUAACUCCGUGCCAGUAGCCGCGGUAAUACGGAGGGUGCGAGCGUUAAUCGGAAUUACUGGGCGUAAAGCGCGCGUAGGUGGCUUGAUAAGCCGGUUGUGAAAGCCCCGGGCUCAACCUGGGAACGGCAUCCGGAACUGUCAAGCUAGAGUGCAGGAGAGGAAGGUAGAAUUCCCGGUGUAGCGGUGAAAUGCGUAGAGAUCGGGAGGAAUACCAGUGGCGAAGGCGGCCUUCUGGACUGACACUGACACUGAGGUGCGAAAGCGUGGGUAGCAAACAGGAUUAGAUACCCCUGUAGUC